rnacentral:lncRNA from 1 species
CAAAAAGCACUCAGAUACAGAGAAGAAAAUUCAAGAUGACGAUGACGACCCCAUAACUUUACUGAUACAACAAUUUACAAUUUUUGCCAUUGGCACUGACUGGAACUCAAUGGAUGGAUGGAUUGAGGAAAGGUUUUAGUUGUUGGCUGAGCUCCUGAAGGACCCAAGUGCCUUGAUAGCACCAGCUCUGAGUAUAUACUGGUGGUAUAUUGCUGCAAUUGCUGCUCCAAUGAAUGGUCCGACCCAGAACAUCCACUGAUCAUCCCAUGCCUUGUCUUGGUUGUAGAUCACAGCUGCUCCGAAGCUCCUUGCCGGGUUGAUCCCUGUUCCGGUCACCGGGAUCGUAGCCAGGUGAACCAUGAACACCGCGAACCCAAUUGGAAGUGGUGCCAACACCUAUUCAUUCAUUAACCCACCAAAUUAGCAAUCAAACCCAAAAUCAAGUGCGGCAAUCACUCAAUUACAACCUAUUUUAUUCUAAUAAUAUUUACU